AGAGUUUGAUCAUGGCUCAGAGCGAACGCUGGCGGCAGGCUUAACACAUGCAAGUCGAGCGCCCCGCAAGGGGAGCGGCGGACGGGUGAGUAACACGUGGGAACGUGCCCUUCGGUUCGGGAUAACUCAGGGAAACUUGAGCUAACACCGGAUACGCCCUUCGGGGGAAAGGUUACGCCGAUGGAGCGGCCCGCGUCUGAUUAGCUAGUUGGUGGGGUAAUGGCCCACCAAGGCUACGAUCAGUAGCUGGUCUGAGAGGAUGAUCAGCCACACUGGGACUGAGACACGGCCCAGACUCCUACGGGAGGCAGCAGUGGGGAAUCUUGCGCAAUGGGGGAAACCCUGACGCAGCCAUGCCGCGUGAAUGAUGAAGGUCUUAGGAUUGUAAAAUUCUUUCAGCGGGGACGAUAAUGACGGUACCCGCAGAAGAAGCCCCGGCUAACUUCGUGCCAGCAGCCGCGGUAAUACGAAGGGGGCUAGCGUUGCUCGGAUUUACUGGGCGUAAAGGGCGCGUAGGCGGAUGACCAAGUUGGGGGUGAAAUCCCGGGGCUUAACCUCGGAACUGCCUCCAAAACUGGUCGUCUUGAGUUUGGGAGAGGUGUGUGGAACUCCGAGUGUAGAGGUGAAAUUCGUAGAUAUUCGGAAGAACACCAGUGGCGAAGGCGACACACUGGCCCAAUACUGACGCUGAGGCGCGAAAGCGUGGGGAGCAAACAGGAUUAGAUACCCCCGUAGUCC
rnacentral:rRNA from 1 species